rnacentral:rRNA from 1 species
UACGUAGGGGGCAAGCGUUGUCCGGAAUCAUUGGGCGUAAAGAGCGUGUAGGCGGCCAGGUAGGUCGGUUGUUGAAAACUGGAGGCUCAACCUUCAGAGGUCGACCGAAACCAUCUGGCUAGAGUCCGGGAGAGGAGAGUGGAAUUCCUGGUGUAGCGGUGAAAUGCGCAGAUAUCAGGAGGAACACCGGUGGCGAAGGCGGGUCUCUGGGCCGAUGACUGACGCUGAGGAGCGAAAGCAUGGGUAGCGAACAGG